UACGUAGGGGGCAAGCGUUGUCCGGAAUCAUUGGGCGUAAAGCGCGUGUAGGCGGUUCGAUAAGUCUGCUGUGAAAGUCCAGGGCUCAACCCUGGGAUGCCGGUGGAUACUGUCGGACUAGAGUACGGAAGAGGCGAGUGGAAUUCCCGGUGUAGCGGUGAAAUGCGCAGAUAUCGGGAGGAACACCAAUUGCGAAGGCAGCUCGCUGGGACGUCACUGACGCUGAGACGCGAAAGCGUGGGGAGCAAACAGGG
rnacentral:rRNA from 1 species